rnacentral:rRNA from 1 species
CACGUAGGCACCAAGCGUUGUCCGGAUUUAUUGGGCGUAAAGAGCUCGUAGGUGGUUUGUCGCGUUGUUCGUGAAAACCUGAGGCUUAACCUUGGGCGUGCGGGCGAUACGGGCAGACUGGAGUACUGCAGGGGAGACUGGAAUUCCUGGUGUAGCGGUGGAAUGCGCAGAUAUCAGGAGGAACACCGGUGGCGAAGGCGGGUCUCUGGGCAGUAACUGACGCUGAGGAGCGAAAGCGUGGGGAGCGAACAGG